rnacentral:rRNA from 1 species
GGUCAAGUUAUUAAGGGUUUACGGUGGAUGCCUUGGGGCCAAGGGCCGAAGAAGGGCGUGGCAAGACUGCGAGAAGCCUCAGUCAGCUGUCUAGCGAGCUUAGCUGGGGAUGCCCGAAUGGGGAAACCCGUCCUGGGUCAUACCGGGACACCCCGACUUGUCGGGGGGGUAAGUGGGAGAACUGAAACAUCUAAGUAUCUCGAGGAAAAUAAAUCAACCGAGAUUCCCCUAGUAGUGGCGAACGAACGGGGAAUAGCCCAAACCUGGCAGGCUUAACGGGCUGAGGCCCUAUGUCUGCUUGGGGUUGUAACACGCGUCUGCUCCAACCUCAGAAAGGAGCAAGAAGUCAAAAACCUUUCCCUUAGCCGAACGAGCCUGGAAAGGACGACCGGAGAAGGUGAUAGUCCUGUAGGCGAAAUGGCCGUCGACUUCCUGAGCUGUGAUCCCGAGUACCACGGGGCACGUGAAACCCUGUGGGAAUCUGGGGGGACCACCCUCCAAGGCUAAAUACCCUUGGCCACCGAUAGUGAACCAGUACCGUGAGGGAAAGGUGAAAAGAACCCCGGGAGGGGAGUGAAAUAGACCUGAAACCGUAGACCUACAAGCCGUGGAAGGCCCCGAUUUAUCGGGGCUGACCGCGUGCCUUUUGAAGAAUGAGCCGGCGAGUUAAUUUGAGCAGCCCGGUUAAGGAAUAUAAGUUCCGGAGCCAUAGCGAAAGCGAGUCUGAAUAGGGCGUGACCGGGCGGAGAC